rnacentral:rRNA from 1 species
UCUGCUAGUCGAGCGGACAGAAGGGAGCUUGCUCCCGGAUGUUAGCGGCGGACGGGUGAGUAACACGUGGGUAACCUGCCUGUAAGACUGGGAUAACUCCGGGAAACCGGAGCUAAUACCGGAUAGUUCCUUGAACCGCAUGGUUCAAGGAUGAAUGACGGUUUCGGCUGUCACUUACAGAUGGACCCGCGGCGCAUUAGCUAGUUGGUGAGGUAACGGCUCACCAAGGCGACGAUGCGUAGCCGACCUGAGAGGGUGAUCGGCCACACUGGGACUGAGACACGGCCCAGACUCCUACGGGAGGCAGCAGUAGGGAAUCUUCCGCAAUGGACGAAAGUCUGACGGAGCAACGCCGCGUGAGUGUUGAAGGUUUUCGGAUCGUAAAGCUCUGUUGUUAGGGAAGAACAAGUGCAAGAGUAACUGCUUGCACCUUGACGGUACCUAACCAGAAAGCCACGGCUAACUACGUGCCAGCAGCCGCGGUAAUACGUAGGUGGCAAGCGUUGUCCGGAAUUAUUGGGCGUAAAGGGCUCGCAGGCGGUUUCUUAAGUCUGAUGUGAAAGCCCCCGGCUCAACCGGGGAGGGUCAUUGGAAACUGGGAAACUUGAGUGCAGAAGAGGAGAGUGGAAUUCCACGUGUAGCGGUGAAAUGCGUAGGGAUGUGGAGGAACACCAGUGGCGAAGGCGACUCUCUGGUCUGUAACUGACGCUGAGGAGCGAAAGCGUGGGGAGCGAACAGGAUUAGAUACCCUGGUAGUCCACGCCGUAAACGAUGAGUGCUAAUGUUAGGGGGUUUCCGCCCCCUUAGUGCUGCAGCUAACGCAUUAAGCACUCCGCCUGGGGAGUACGGUC